UUGCAUUGAUACCCAUAAAAAAUUGAUCUGAUUUUUAGAGGCUAUUUUGUUUUGCAGGUUUAUGUACUGUCAAAGCUUCUGACUGAGGAAGCAGCAUUCCAAUUUGCUAAUGAGAACAGCAUUGAUCUUGUGUCAGUCAUAACCACAACUGUUGCUGGUCCAUUCCUCACUUCAACAGUUCCAACAAGCAUUCAAGUUCUCUUGUCGCCAAUAACAGGCGACUCUAAAUUCUCUCGUAUCUUAUCUGCUGUGAAUUCAAGAAUGGGGUUAAUCGCUUUAGUUCAUAUCGAAGAUAUAUGCAGUGCCCACAUAUUCCUCAUGGAACAUGACGGAGCAGAAGGUCGAUACAUAUGCUCUGCCCACAGUUCUGUAAUAUCUCAACUGGUUGAUCAUCUUGCUAAAGAGCACCCUUUCUCAAAUAUGCAGAGGUUUGUAGAGGAAGAACAUGGCUCAGUCCCCUCCGAGAUUUCUUCAAAGAAGUUAAGAGAUUUGGGUUUUAAUUUCAAGUUCGGCUUGGAAGAUAUUAUACACCAUAUUGUUAAUUCUUGUGUAGAUUGUGGCUUUUUGUGUCCUACUGUAAACUAGAUUGCGCCAAUAUAGGCACAGAAUGAAACAAAUUUUCAAGGGACAGUUUUUACGUAAUUGUAAUAAAAUAAAUAAAUAAAAUCAAAACGCCUGAAUAGUUGCUGAUA